rnacentral:rRNA from 1 species
AGUGAACGCUGGCGGUAGGCCUAAAAAUGCAAGGUGAAACGGAAGACCAGAAGAGGCUGGCUCUAAGGGGUGGGGGGGGGGGGAGGGGGGGGGAAAACACCGGAAUCUACUUUUUGGGGGGGGAUAAGGUGGGGAAACUAAGGUAAAUACGGAAAAGAACCACCGGGGAAAGGAAGGGGAUCUUGGAACCUGGGCGGAUGAAAGAGCCGGAUGUCGGAUUAGCUAGUUGGCGGGGUAAAGGCCCACCAAGGCGACGAUCCGUAGCUGGUCUGAGAGGAUGAUCAGCCACACUGGAACUGAGACACGGUCCAGACUCCUACGGGAGGCAGCAGUGGGGAAUAUUGGACAAUGGGCGCAAGCCUGAUCCAGCCAUACCGCGUGGGUGAAGAAGGCCUUCGGGUUGUAAAGCCCUUUUGUUGGGAAAGAAAAGCAGCAGGUUAAUACCCCGCUGUUCUGACGGUACCCAAAGAAUAAGCACCGGCUAACUUCGUG